rnacentral:misc_RNA from 1 species
ACGAGUCUUUUUAUUAGCAUAUUCGGACAUGAUUGUUGCAGAGAGAGGGUAGUCACCUCCAAUCCCAAAACCAAGCCAAAAUCUGAAGAAACAGAGUGUGGCUAUGACACCCUUUGCAGAAUGUCCAAAGGAAAGUCCUGAGGCAACGGAACAGACCACCAUAAGCAUAAGGGUCAUUCCAUAGACCUUCUUCCUGCCUAAUUUGUCACCAAGCCAUCCAAAGAAGA